rnacentral:lncRNA from 1 species
CAAGGCCUUUGUGUGAGAGAUGAUGACCUCCAUCUCCUCCCAGAAUCCUCGAUCUAGACGAGAGUCUAAAGAAAGGCUCGUCAUGCUAGACUUGGUCAAAUGGAACCGAUUAUAUAUAGAAUAACACUCCUUAGUGAAUAUAUGUAAAAUCAUUUUCUCAAAAAAAUUAUAUAGAAUAACUCAAGGGACGAACUUUGUAGGGGUGUAAACCCCUCCAUUUUUUUAAAAAAAAACUCAAAAGACGAACGCAAGUAGAGUUUCUUCUAACUAGCCGGAGUCCGGAGAUACCAGCAUGCAGUAAACAUAAUUCUCUCCAUGCACAGGACUUCUGAGCAAGUCGCUUUUCGAUGCCAUAUUAUAUAGAGACACGAAACAGUCUGUACUCAAACUCUUUUAGUUCCGGUUUUUCAACGGGAGCACCAAUCUAGGACUAAACGAGAGGACACCUUUAGUUUUGGUUGGGUGCGCGGGACUAAAGAUAGACUUUUAGUCUUGGUUUCUAAUACCAACCGAGACUACAAGGGCCCUCCAGGUCUGUUCACGGGGUAGGAUAUUUAGUCCUGCUUAGUAUUAGGAACCGGGACUAAAUAGUUUUUUUCUUUUUUUUUCUGUUUUUCUUUCUUUUUUUUCAAUUGAUGAUUAGGUUUAAUAUUAUAAUAGGAUUCAAAUACGCUGCUAAUACUAAUAGAUAUUUCGCAUCAGUAAUUAAGUUAUCGUUCGACACAACAUAUAAAUAACAAACGAUUAUACGUAUAUAUGAUCACAUGUUAUUUUAUGUAUACAUAUAGUAUGUAUAUAUAUUACAUAGCGGUUUGCAUGUACAUAUAAAUUCAUGUCCUUUGCAUAACAAUUCACUUCUAAUUUGGCUUCCAUAUUUCGUUCGGAUCAUUGUAGAACUCGCCAUUUGGGUUGAUGACCUGAUCAUUUAGAAAUCUGGAUAUGGUCUCUUGAAUUGCUUUAAGUUGGUCACGUGGUAUGACUCUUUCCUUCAACCAUUCAAGCUUCAAUAAAAGUAAAAGAAUAAAUUAUUAAUAUAUAUGUGUUGAUAGUGAUUACUUAUAUAGAAGAGAGAGAAAUAAAAAAUAUGAAUAUACGAUGCAAACAAUCAAUAUAAUUAAAGGAAAAGGUAUUUAUAUAUACGUACUUUGAGGAACUCUUCUAAAGUUCUGUUUGAGUAUGCCAUAACUCGCAAAUGUAGUAUCCGCAGUAGUUGUUCCCCUGCUCUUGUCUUAGAACCCACUUUUACAACAAAAAUCAAUUAGUUAGGUGAAAUGAAAUCAUCAUAUAUUGUAAAUUGAAUAUAAACGUAGUUAUAGUACUUACUUUGUGUCCGAUUAUAUCCAGUGGCGCUUUGCAAUGAUUCAAUUUUUGUUCUUCAAUGAACUUUUUCCAAACCCUGCGCCCAAUAAAAAUAUAAUUAAUCCUUUAAUAAUUGUUGAGAGAUAUAUAUAGUUUUAUAGAGACACUAAAUUAAUUAUCCUUGAAUAAUAUCUACCAUGUCUUGAUAGUAGUCCGUUUGCGGUUUUCUCAAGGAGUCUAAAAUUUUCAAUCUACUAUUGGUCAUAUCGAUGACCAUCAAUAUCCAGUUAUUGCUGCAUAGACAUAACUUAUUAGGUAGCUAUAAAUAAAUAAUCAAUUGAACAAAUAAUAUCCCAUGUCAUUGAUAUUUUAAUUACUAAACACUUACUUGAAGUUGUAGGGGAAGAGUAUAUCCUUCUUGUUGCGUUGGUUCACUAAAAACAUCAUAAGAUUCUUCUCUCGUUCAGGCUUAUAAUCAUGCGGGGGGUUAGGGUGUUUGUAUACGACAUAUGGAUCAACGAAACCAAUAUUAUUAUCAUUUCUCUUCCUCAGUUCUCUCAUCUAUAUAUCUCUAUAUUUAAGGUGUAUAUGACCGAACAAAAUGUAUAUAGACAAAGUAUAUGAUCAUACUAGACCAUCUAGAGUCAUAUGUAUGUUAAGUAUGCAUGCAUACAUAGAGUAUAUGGUUAUACUUAUUGUAUAUAAUAUAGUAGUGGCAUUGUAGUAAUAUAUUUAAAAUAUAUUUUUUUUGAAAAUUUUUUGUGUGGUAAGAUGUAGAGUAUCUUAAUAUGAGUAUAUAAAUAUACUCAAACUGAUAAACAAGUAUGAAU